AGGGUUUGAUCCUGGCUCAGGAUGAACGCUAGCGGCAGGCUUAACACAUGCAAGUCGAGGGGCAGCGGGAGUAGCAAUACUUGCCGGCGACCGGCGCAAGGGUGCGUAACGCGUGAGCAACAUGCCCGUAUCAGGGGGAUAAUCCAGGGAAACUUGGUCUAAUACCGCAUAAUAAUCAUUUGGGGCAUCUUGGAUGAUUUAAAAUUUCGAUGGAUACGGAUUGGCUCGCGUGACAUUAGCUGGAUGGUAGGGUAACGGCCUACCAUGGCUACGAUGUCUAGGGGUUCUGAGAGGAAGGUCCCCCACACUGGAACUGAGACACGGUCCAGACUCCUACGGGAGGCAGCAGUGAGGAAUAUUGGACAAUGGAUGGAAAUCUGAUCCAGCCAUGCCGCGUGCAGGAAGACGGCCCUAUGGGUUGUAAACUGCUUUUGUAUGGGAGCAAUAAGGGCUACGUGUAGCCUGAUGAGAGUACCAUACGAAUAAGGACCGGCUAACUCCGUGCCAGCAGCCGCGGUAAUACGGAGGGUCCGAGCGUUAUCCGGAUUUAUUGGGUUUAAAGGGUGCGUAGGCGGUUUUAUAAGUCAGCGGUGAAAUUUUCCGGCUCAACCGGGAUACUGCCGUUGAUACUGUAAGGCUAGGAUAUGGUUGCUGUGGGUGGAAUGUGUGGUGUAGCGGUGAAAUGCUUAGAGAUCACACAGAAUAUCGAUUGCGAAGGCAGCUCACAAAGCCAUUAUUGACGCUGAGGCACGAAAGUGUGGGGAUCAAACAGGAUUAGAUACCCUGGUAGUCCACACUGUAAACGAUGAUAACUCGCUGUCGGCGAUAUAAAGUCGGUGGCCAAGCGAAAGCGAUAAGUUAUCCACCUGGGGAGUACGACCGCAAGGUUGAAACUCAAAGGAAUUGACGGGGGCCCGCACAAGCGGAGGAACAUGUGGUUUAAUUCGAUGAUACGCGAGGAACCUUACCCGGGCUCGAACGGUGCAGGAAUACUACAGAGAUGUGGUAGCUAGCAAUAGUCUGUAUCGAGGUGCUGCAUGGUUGUCGUCAGCUCGUGCCGUGAGGUGUCGGCUUAAGUGCCAUAACGAGCGCAACCCUUGUCGUUAGUUGCCAUCAGGUCAAGCUGGGAACUCUAACGAGACUGCCACCGUAAGGUGUGAGGAAGGGGGGGAUGACGUCAAAUCAGCACGGCCCUUACGUCCGGGGCGACACACGUGUUACAAUGGCAGGUACAGAGGGGAGCUACCCAGCGAUGGGGUGCGAAUCUCAAAAGCCUGUCUCAGUUCGGAUUGGAGUCUGCAACUCGACUCCAUGAAGUUGGAUUCGCUAGUAAUCGCGCAUCAGCCAUGGCGCGGUGAAUACGUUCCCGGGCCUUGUACACACCGCCCGUCAAGCCAUGGAAGCCGGGGGUGCCUGAAGUUCGUAACCGCAAGGAUCGACCUAGGGUAAAACUGGUGACUGGGGCUAAGUCGUAACAAGGUAACCA
rnacentral:rRNA from 1 species